rnacentral:rRNA from 1 species
AUUGAACGCUGGCGGCAGGCUUAACACAUGCAAGUCGAGCGGGCGAGGUUGCUUCGGUAACUGAGCUAGCGGCGGACGGGUGAGUAAUGCUUAGGAAUCUGCCUAUUAGUGGGGGACAACAUUCCGAAAGGAAUGCUAAUACCGCAUACGCCCUACGGGGGAAAGCAGGGGAUCUUCGGACCUUGCGCUAAUAGAUGAGCCUAAGUCAGAUUAGCUAGUUGGUGGGGUAAAGGCCUACCAAGGCGACGAUCUGUAGCGGGUCUGAGAGGAUGAUCCGCCACACUGGGACUGAGACACGGCCCAGACUCCUACGGGAGGCAGCAGUGGGGAAUAUUGGACAAUGGGCGCAAGCCUGAUCCAGCCAUGCCGCGUGUGUGAAGAAGGCCUUUUGGUUGUAAAGCACUUUAAGCGAGGAGGAGGCUACUUGGAUUAAUACUCUAGGAUAGUGGACGUUACUCGCAGAAUAAGCACCGGCUAACUCUGUGCCAG